rnacentral:ncRNA from 1 species
CGACACAAGCGCGGGUGGAGUACUGCCUGUUGGUUUUCCGUUGUGGCGGUCGAGGAAUGAAGCGUGCACCCUUGGGGUGGGAAACUUUGCACCUGCACGCUCAUGGUGUUGGUUGGCGGGCUUUCCAUUCGACCCGUCUUGAAACACGGACCAAGGAGUCUAACAUGUGUGCGAGUUGGUGAGUUUGUAAACCUACGAGGCGUAAGGAAGCUGACGGGCGAGAACCCCUCUCCAUGGGGUGCAUUACCGACCAACCUUGAGCUUGUGCGAAGGGUUCGAGUGCGAGCACACCUAUUGGGACCUGAAAGAUGGUGAACUAUGCCUGAGCAGGGCGAAGCCAGAGGAAACUCUGGUGGAAGCCUGUAGCGAUACUGACGUGCAAAUCAUUCGUCUGACUUGGGUAUAGGGGCGAAAGAAUAAUCGAACCAUCUAGUAGCUGGUUUCCUCCGAAGUUUCCCUCAGGAUAGCUGGAUCUCACGUGCGAGUUUUAUCGGGUAAAGCAAAUGAUUAGAGGCAUCGGGGGCGUAACGCCCUC